rnacentral:rRNA from 1 species
CAACCUGCCGAUAACUCCGGAAUAGCCUUUCGAAAGAAAGAUUAAUACCGGAUAGCAUACGAAUAUCGCAUGAUAUUUUUAUUAAAGAAUUUCGGUUAUCGAUGGGGAUGCGUUCCAUUAGUUUGUUGGCGGGGUAACGGCCCACCAAGACUACGAUGGAUAGGGGUUCUGAGAGGAAGGUCCCCCACAUUGGAACUGAGACACGGUCCAAACUCCUACGGGAGGCAGCAGUGAGGAAUAUUGGUCAAUGGGCGAGAGCCUGAACCAGCCAAGUAGCGUGAAGGAUGAAGGCUCUAUGGGUCGUAAACUUCUUUUAUAUGGGAAUAAAGUUUUCCACGUGUGGAAUUUUGUAUGUACCAUAUGAAUAAGGAUCGGCUAACUCCGUGCCAGCAGCCGCGGUAAUACGGAGGAUCCGAGCGUUAUCCGGAUUUAUUGGGUUUAAAGGGAGCGUAGGUGGAUUGUUAAGUCAGUUGUGAAAGUUUGCGGCUCAACCGUAAAAUUGCAGUUGAAACUGGCAGUCUUGAGUACAGUAGAGGUGGGCGGAAUUCGUGGUGUAGCGGUGAAAUGCUUAGAUAUCACGAAGAACUCCGAUUG